CCCGAAGUUGCCUAUUUCGAAGAAUAAGCUCUGGGCCAAAGUUACAUAUUCAGGACACACCUGCUCUGCUGACAUGAUCUUAUUUCUUUUGUAUCACUCUUCCUCUGCCAGCCAUCUUGAAGUUUAAUGCAACCCCUCACCUCUCUCUUCUCGACUGGCAAGUCUGUCUCUUUCUCUUGUUUUGAAAUUUAAGACUGGAAGGCUUGUGAGCGUCCCUUUUGCUCUUUUAUGUUGUUCCUCUUGCACUCCUCUUUUUCUGCCAGCUAACGUAGAGAACACACCUCUAACCCCUCUGAAAACACUAUAUAACACAAGGCAAUUCCAAGCAUAUUGUAUCUGACAGACCAGACACACAAAACAGAUCGCAUCCACUUUCAAAACCCUUUUCAACCGUGGAUAAUCUGACCUGACUCGAACUCCCUAGCCCAGCUUCACCUCCUCCUCCGACUGUACAUCCUUGUAUUACUCCUGCUUUGGCUCCACAUCCAGAUACGCCUCCAGUUCAUAACCCCACUCCGUCUCCGGUUCCGUUUCCUCUACUACAACUACUCUCCAUUCCAUCAGAAUGGAGCGCUGAAAUGUUUCAGAAUUUAAAGAGAAACGAAACAGCCAGCGGAACGGGAGAUGGAGUGGGUUAUGAACAAACUAGAGCCCAAGCUGAAGCUAUUACUUGAGGUGGAUCUGGAUGAAGGGCCAGAGCUGGAAGGAGGUGAAGCUGGGUUAGAGAGUUCAGGUCAGGUCUGGAUGCAGGGCCGGAGCUGGAUCCGGAGAAGAAGGUAACGCUGCGUUAGAGAGUUCAGGUCAGGUCGGCUUGGCUUACACAUGGUUGAGAGAAGAGUUGUGAGAGUGAAUGUAAACUGUUUUAUAUAUUUUAUAUUGUUUAAAU